CUCAUUUUAAAACAUGUUCCCCUCCUCGCCUGUGGGGGCGCUGCAGCAAGAACCACUGAAGGAAACGAGACAAGAAACCUCCGAAGAAGACGCUGAAAGCAACUUCCUUCUUCRCAAAAUUUUUCACUCCACGGCUUAUGAGGCGAAAACCAAAAACUGCGCAAGUUGCGCAACAGGUUGUUGCUAGGCAACCAAAGAGUUACCUAGCAACUCUCGAGGCUUGCUUAGCAAAAAGUGUGAGGUUGAGCAGCUGAAACCUUUCCGUUGACUUAAUCUCCCAGAAUGCUGUGCGGCUCUGGAUCGGAGUUCAGUUGGUCGGUGACGCAGCCAAGUCCCCGUCCUCAACAAUGGGCCAUUUGAGUCGGGCACGGUGGAAAACUGCAGUCACGGUUGGGCUUAUUGAUCCCUGAAGACGAGGUUAACUUGCUUCGUCCUGGAUGAGAGCGGGGAGAACGGGAAGGGGUCAGACAUUUGCCGGAAAACUGCGGUGCGGGAAGGUCCCCCGGGUCCGGCAGGAAGUGACUCACAAAUCAAAUGUUGGAGGUCCGUUCCAAAUGUCAGGACCUCCACGCAUGAUUUCUCAAUAAAUGUCAAAAAAAUCUGACUUUUGUGAAGAAAACUAACCCAAAAUGUUCUUACUUUAUUAUGAAARAAUUCCCACUCCUGAUCAGUUUCUACAUUAAUGCCUUUUCUCUGAUGSAUCUGGUGAAACAUGAAUAAACAGCUGCCUCUGCUUCUCACAGUUAGAAAUGUUCUCUUCACUGCCUUUAGUGUCUGGAAGGUGAGUCAAAGCUGACACUGUGCCGUUACCUAGCAACUCCCRCCAAGCCCGGCCCGUCGCCUAGCAACCCAGGCUGAGCUGAGUUSAGGGGGCGUGGCUAAGCACUCAAACUCACUAGGAAACUGUUAAAAUAUCAAUAAAUAGCUGCUUCUGCACUGGAUGAUUACCUCUUAAAGUUAAAUAAUGUUGAACGUUUUUUCAUAUUGAUGUAAUUUGGUGUUAUACCAUUAAAAACAACUUKGAUUUGAUUGAUAAAAUUUUAUUUAAGCGCGAUUUAUGCUUCCCUCUUGAGUCUAGAGCCAUUUUGACUCAGUCCAGAUAAAUAAAACACUUAGAGCCACAAGUGUUACAUCACAUUUUUWWAAAAAGAC